UGGGGAAUAUUACACAAUGGGCGCAAGCCUGAUGCAGCCAUGCCGCGUGUGUGAAGAAGGCCUUCGGGUUGUAAAGCACUUUCAGCGGGGAGGAAGGCGAUAAGGUUAAUAACCUUGUCGAUUGACGUUACCCGUAGAAGAAGCACCGGCUAACUCCGUGCCAGCAGCCGCGGUAAUACGGAGGGUGCAAGCGUUAAUCGGAAUUACUGGGCGUAAAGCGCACGCAGGCGGUUUGUUAAGUCAGAUGUGCAAUCCCCGGGCUCAACCUGGGAACUGCAUCUGAUACUGGCAAGCUUGAGUCUCGUAGAGGGGGGUAGAAUUCCAGGUGUAGCGGUGAAAUGCGUAGAGAUCUGGAGGAAUACCGGUGGCGAAGGCGGCCCCCUGGACGAAGACUGACGCUCAGGUGCGAAAGCGUGGGGAGCAAACAGG
rnacentral:rRNA from 1 species